AUGGUGUGCUGCCUGUGUGUAACAAGAAAGAGGGGUCGGAGAAGAGAGAGAGGGCACAAGGGGGAGAGGGGGAGUACCUUUAUCUCGACAUUCAUGUAUCGAGACUCCCGAGAACUUUGCCGAGAAGACCAACGUGGUGUGGGAGCCAUCCAAGGAUUUGAAGCACCUGAACUUGAAGUUGCUGGUGAUCUGGGGGUGCGAGGAUGA
rnacentral:rRNA from 1 species